rnacentral:rRNA from 1 species
AGAGUUUGAUCCUGGCUCAGAACGAACGCUGGCGGCAGGCCUCAUACAUGCAAGUCGAGCGGUAAGGUCCCUUCGGGGGCCCUAGAGCGGCGAACGGGUGAGUAAUAGGUGGAUAAUCUACCUUUUGGUGGGGGAUAACGGCUGGAAACGGCCGCUAAUACCGCGUAUGGUUGCCGGGUCUAUGACCUGGCAAAGAAAGGGGCCUUUAAAGCCUCGCCAAGAGAUGAGUCCGCCUCCCAUUAGCUAGUUGGUGAGAUAACAGCCCACCAAGGCGACGAUGGGUAACCGAGCUGAGAGGUUGAUCGGUCACACUGGAACUGAGACACGGUCCAGACACCUACGGGUGGCAGCAGUAGGGAAUAUUGGGCAAUGGGCGCAAGCCUGACCCAGCCAUGCCGCGUGGACGACGAAGGCCUUCGGGUCGUAAAGUCCUUUUCUGAGAGAAGAAUCGCCGGGGCAGGAAAUGGUCUCGGUCUGACGGUAUCUCAGGAAUAAGCAACGGCUAACUCCGUGCCAGCAGCCGCGGUAAUACGGAGGUUGCAAGCGUUGUUCGGAAUAACUGGGCGUAAAGGGGGCGCAGGCGGCUUGGUAAGUCUGAAGUGAAAUCCCGGGGCUCAACCCCGGAACUGCUUUGGAUACUGCCGAGCUUGAGUACGUGAGAGGAGAGUGGAAUUCCAGGUGUAGCGGUGAAAUGCGUAGAUAUCUGGAGGAACACCGGUGGCGAAAGCGGCUCUCUGGCACGUUACUGACGCUCAGGCCCGAAAGCAUGGGGAGCAAACGGGAUUAGAUACCCCGGUAGUCCAUGCCGUAAACGUUGUGCGCUAGGUGUAGGAGGUAUCGACCCCUUCUGUGCCGCAGCCAACGCAUUAAGCGCACCGCCUGGGGAGUACGGUCGCAAGACUGAAACUCAAAGGAAUUGACGG